rnacentral:rRNA from 1 species
ACUAAGCGUACACGGUGGAUGCCCUGGCAGUCAGAGGCGAUGAAGGACGUGCUAAUCUGCGAUAAGCGCCGGUAAGGUGAUAUGAACCGUUAUAACCGGCGAUUUCCGAAUGGGGAAACCCAGUGUGACUCGUCACACUAUCAUUAACUGAAUCCAUAGGUUAAUGAGGCGAACCGGGGGAACUGAAACAUCUAAGUACCCCGAGGAAAAGAAAUCAACCGAGAUUCCCCCAGUAGCGGCGAGCGAACGGGGAGGAGCCCAGAGCCUGAAUCAGCAUGUGUGUUAGUGGAAGCGUCUGGAAAGGCGCGCGAUACAGGGUGACAGCCCCGUACACAAAAGCGCAUGUGCUGUGAGCUCGAUGAGUAGGGCGGGACACGUGGUAUCCUGUCUGAAUAUGGGGGGACCAUCCUCCAAGGCUAAAUACUCCUGACUGACCGAUAGUGAACCAGUACCGUGAGGGAAAGGCGAAAAGAACCCCGGCGAGGGGAGUGAAAAAGAACCUGAAACCGUGUACGUACAAGCAGUGGGAGCACAGCUUUACCUGUGUGACUGCGUACCUUUUGUAUAAUGGGUCAGCGACUUAUAUUCUGUAGCAAGGUUAACCGUAUAGGGGAGCCGGAGGGAAACCGAGUCUUAAUUGGGCGUUAAGUUGCAGGGUAUAGACCCGAAACCCGGUGAUCUAGCCAUGGGCAGGUUGAAGGUUGGGUAACACUAACUGGAGGACCGAACCGACUAAUGUUGAAAAAUUAGCGGAUGACCUGUGGCUGGGGGUGAAAGGCCAAUCAAACCGGGAGAUAGCUGGUUCUCCCCGAAAGCUAUUUAGGUAGCGCCUCGUGAACUCAUCUCCGGGGGUAGAGCACUGUUUCGGCUAGGGGGCCAUCCCGGCUUACCAACCCGAUGCAAACUGCGAAUACCGGAGAAUGUUAUCACGGGAGACACACGGCGGGUGCUAACGUCCGUCGUGAAGAGGGAAACAACCCAGACCGCCAGCUAAGGUCCCAAAGUCAUGGUUAAGUGGGAAACGAUGUGGGAAGGCCCAGACAGCCAGGAUGUUGGCUUAGAAGCAGCCAUCAUUUAAAGAAAGCGUAAUAGCUCACUGGUCGAGUCGGCCUGCGCGGAAGAUGUAACGGGGCUAAACCAUGCACCGAAGCUGCGGCAGCGACGAUCACUUAGCGAUUCAGCGGUUACGAUUGACGGAGCGAAGCGACGUCAAAGCGUAUACAAAGUCGAGUCGGUUUAAGGAUACGUUCGUUGGGUAGGGGAGCGUUCUGUAAGCCUGCGAAGGUGGCCUGUGAGGGUUGCUGGAGGUAUCAGAAGUGCGAAUGCUGACAUAAGUAACGAUAAAGCGGGUGAAAAGCCCGCUCGCCGGAAGACCAAGGGUUCCUGUCCAACGUUAAUCGGGGCAGGGUGAGUCGACCCCUAAGGCGAGGCCGAAAGGCGUAGUCGAUGGGAAACGGGUUAAUAUUCCCGUACUUGGUGUUACUGCGAAGGGGGGACGGAGAAGGCUAUGUUGGCCGGGCGACGGUUGUCCCGGUUUAAGCGUGUAGGCUGGUUUUCCAGGCAAAUCCGGAAAAUCAAGGCUGAGGCGUGAUGACGAGGCACUACGGUGCUGAAGCAACAAAUGCCCUGCUUCCAGGAAAAGCCUCUAAGCAUCAGGUAACAUCAAAUCGUACCCCAAACCGACACAGGUGGUCAGGUAGAGAAUACCAAGGCGCUUGAGAGAACUCGGGUGAAGGAACUAGGCAAAAUGGUGCCGUAACUUCGGGAGAAGGCACGCUGACAUGUAGGUGAAGUGAUUUACUCAUGGAGCUGAAGUCAGUCGAAGAUACCAGCUGGCUGCAACUGUUUAUUAAAAACACAGCACUGUGCAAACACGAAAGUGGACGUAUACGGUGUGACGCCUGCCCGGUGCCGGAAGGUUAAUUGAUGGGGUCAGCGCAAGCGAAGCUCCUGAUCGAAGCCCCGGUAAACGGCGGCCGUAACUAUAACGGUCCUAAGGUAGCGAAAUUCCUUGUCGGGUAAGUUCCGACCUGCACGAAUGGCGUAAUGAUGGCCAGGCUGUCUCCACCCGAGACUCAGUGAAAUUGAACUCGCUGUGAAGAUGCAGUGUACCCGCGGCAAGACGGAAAGACCCCGUGAACCUUUACUAUAGCUUGACACUGAACAUUGAGCCUUGAUGUGUAGGAUAGGUGGGAGGCUUUGAAGUGUGGACGCCAGUCUGCAUGGAGCCGACCUUGAAAUACCACCCUUUAAUGUUUGAUGUUCUAACGUGGACCCGUAAUCCGGGUUGCGGACAGUGUCUGGUGGGUAGUUUGACUGGGGCGGUCUCCUCCUAAAGAGUAACGGAGGAGCACGAAGGUUGGCUAAUCCUGGUCGGACAUCAGGAGGUUAGUGCAAUGGCAUAAGCCAGCUUGACUGCGAGCGUGACGGCGCGAGCAGGUGCGAAAGCAGGUCAUAGUGAUCCGGUGGUUCUGAAUGGAAGGGCCAUCGCUCAACGGAUAAAAGGUACUCCGGGGAUAACAGGCUGAUACCGCCCAAGAGUUCAUAUCGACGGCGGUGUUUGGCACCUCGAUGUCGGCUCAUCACAUCCUGGGGCUGAAGUAGGUCCCAAGGGUAUGGCUGUUCGCCAUUUAAAGUGGUACGCGAGCUGGGUUUAGAACGUCGUGAGACAGUUCGGUCCCUAUCUGCCGUGGGCGCUGGAGAACUGAGGGGGGCUGCUCCUAGUACGAGAGGACCGGAGUGGACGCAUCACUGGUGUUCGGGUUGUCAUGCCAAUGGCACUGCCCGGUAGCUAAAUGCGGAAGAGAUAAGUGCUGAAAGCAUCUAAGCACGAAACUUGCCCCGAGAUGAGUUCUCCCUGAGACUUUAGGUCUCCUGAAGGAACGUUGAAGACGACGACGUUGAUAGGCCGGGUGUGUAAGCGCAGCGAUGCGUUGAGCUAACCGGUACUAAUGAACCGUGAGGCUUAACC